rnacentral:antisense_RNA from 1 species
AGUCAUGGUGGCUAUUCCUAUUUAAUAGUCAUUGUGAUUAGCGGGGUGAAUGUGUUGGCGCACAUUCACUUCGCGAU